UUUUCAGUGCGCUUACGUCAACUAUAUUUGUUAAAAAUAAUAGUCAUUGAAUUUUUUAACAUAUAUCUAUAUAGUUUAGAAUAUGAAAAAAUGAGAUUAAAUACUUCGAAAGGUUCCACUGCAACUGCGUGUAAUCUGCACACUACUGUAAAUUUUUAUUCGAUUCAUUCGAUCUCGCUGCUGCAUCACUACUGAUUUUCAUAAAGUAUCAAGUUGGAGAAUCAACUAACGAUUGACAACCUUCAUUAACGUUUAAGCGGUAACUUUAAAAGUUUCAAAUGCAUCAAUUAGAUUGUGAAAAGGCGUAUAAAGAGCUUUUAAUAUAUGCUUGAAUUAUCUACCACAUAAACUGCAAGAAUAAGUAGCUAAUUCAAAUUAAGGAUCUCACUGCAGCUUAGGACUGAUUUUAGUUUGAAACUAAACAAGAGGAUAGUAUACUUCAAUGUCUCCGAAUUUAUAUUAUGAACUAUAAGGUAUUUAUCAUCUGUUAAAUAAAAUAUGUACUAACCAAUUCCCCAUAAGUUGGUGAUACACCCCAAGCAAUCAGUGAGUCGUCCGCUGCUAUUACUAUGGAUGUGUUACUUGUGCCGACACUUUUUAUGUUCCAGCCUG